AUGAUCUUAUUUUAUUUCCGCCUCUCUCUUUAUUCUCAAAAUAGCUCGCCGGAAGAGACAACGAAGCUACCAUGCCGGAAAUCUCCUCGCAACGACGACUACGGCGAUGGUCCCCAAUCUUGCUUCGAUCUUCAAUUUUUUUUAUAUUUUCUUGCUUGCUUCUAUCUUCUGAUCAAGAAUCUGGAACUUGAUUUUGUAGGUAACCAUCGGUUGCAUUCAGAUCUAAAAGGGAUUUUCGGAAACCCUUUCGCUAUGAUGUUGAAAAUCGGAGAUUAUGAUGCAUGA